UAUUAUAUAUUUUAAUAAAAAUAUUAAUUUUGUAAAUUAAUGAUAAAUAAAAUUUUAUUUUAUAAUAA
rnacentral:tRNA from 1 species